rnacentral:rRNA from 1 species
CCUACGGGAGGCAGCAGUGGGGGAUAUUGCACAAUGGGGGAAACCCUGAUGCAGCGACGCCGCGUGUGGGAAGACGGCCCUCUGGAUUGUAAACUACUGUCCCCAGGGACGAAGAUGAAGGUACUUGGGGAGGAAGCUCCGGCAAACUACGUGCCGGAAGCCGCGGUAAUACGUAGGGAGCGAGGGUUUUCCGGAUUUACUGGGUGAAAGGGGAGCGUAGGCGGGGAUGCAAGUUGGGUGUCAAAACUACCGGCUCAACUGGUAGUCGCACUCAAAACUGCAGCUCUUGAGUGAAGUAGAGGCAGGCGGAAUUCGUGGUGUAGCGGUGAAAUGCGUAGAUAUUAGGAAGAACACCAGUGGCGAAGGCGGCCUGCUGGGCUUUUACUGACGCUGAGGCUCGAAAGUGUGGGGAGCAAACAGGAUUAGAUACCCGUGUAGUC